UCCUGCCUCAGCCUCCUGAAUAUCUGGGAUUACAGGCCAAAGAUUAUUAAUGCAUGAUGUGUAACAAUUUCAGGCAAAGCCUAGGAAGAGAGAGAAUGCCGAAAGACUUCUAAUGUAUGGAGUUUAAACAUCAGAUGGUGAUUGAUUGCUAUUAAUUUAUGUCAGCAAAGGAGGAGAAGAAAUACGUAAAACUGCCUCUGAAGAAUUUACAUUAAACACCAAAAGAAUCUGACUCUGAAAAUGAAGAAACAAGGAAUAUUGUUUGUUUUGGGAAUCAAAAAAAAAAAAAACUUCCCAUUUGAGUACACAAUUUCCUAAACAAGAUACAUGAUAAUUCCAUACACUAUGCUUUCCGAAGAAACUUUGUAAAACGUAUUUUCAUUAUUCAAAACUUGAAAACACAGAAACAAUAUGAUGCAAAAAAUUAUCUUUAGCAUUAUUCCACUAAGAUAAUUCAUUUUAACAUCCAUAUAUUCAUUAUUAUGUAAAAUACCUAUCAGUAUGUGGGUAUAUCUUUGUGUGUAUAUUUUAACAAAACAAAAUUCAAUAAAAAUUGAAAUACAGAAAUGACAAAAACACACAAAAAAUAUAAAUUAUUUCCAUUGUAGCAUAUAUUACCUUUUUCACCUAACAUUAUACUGUAGGAAUAUAUUCUUUCAUCAUUCAAUGCUUUUGAAAAUAUAAUAAUAUUCCAUUUUAAGGACAUGCUAUAAUUUAGUUCAUUAGUUUUUAAACUUUUAGAUUAUCUCAUUUUGUCAUCAUUUAAAAAAAGUGUUCCUGGAUGUCCUUUUGCAUAGACUUUUGAAUGUAUUUCUGACUAUUUUCUUAACCUGUCCUGUACUUCUGCAAGUAGAACUGCUUGAGCAGAGAUUAGGAGCAAUUUUAAGGUUUUUCAAAAAUCUUGACAAACUAUUCUGCAGGAAAAAUGUAUCUUGUUACCAUCAGCAUUUUUAAGUAACUAGUGACUAAUUGUAAAAAUAAUUGUGUUUCCUUGUAUUUAAGCCUUGCGCUAUAGAUUUUAAAAAUUUGUCCUUUUUUUUUUUUCAUUUGUAAAAAAAAGCCAUCUAAAAGACCUUAGAACCUGGUAUCAGCUGAAGCUUACUAAACCAUAUCAAGAAGAUCAUGUCAUUCUCAAGAAAAGCAUGUUUCAAAUAAAAAGGAAAUGUCA
rnacentral:lncRNA from 1 species